GUUGAAGAAUAUUAAUAUUUAUAGGCUUAAUUGCAUGUUGUGUGCAUUUUGGUCUUACAGUUUCCUUCAUCUCUAAACUGCACACCUACAGCACACUUUUAUUGUGUCUAUUGCAGCCAUACAAUACUAUGCAAAGACCAGUUCAGACAUCAUGUAUCUCUGUGCAGCAGUGCAACCAAGACCAUUAUAGCAGAAGUGUUUAAUCCACAGACUGUUGCUACUUCUGAUGCACGUCCAGCUCCCCCUCUGCCAGCUACUCCUGAUACACCUUCUCCCAGUUCUGGUCUUGCUUCCUCUGUGCAUGGUAUUAAUUAUAUUAAUUAUUAUAUUUUCUCUCAGGAAAGUUCAGCGUGUUGAACGUGUGACUGAUGAAGGAGAUAGAAUGGGCAACGUCUCCUUUGAACAGAUACAGUUCUGGAUGAGGGUGACAAAGCUUUUUUAAAGCUGUCACUGGUUUGUCGUCUCUUCCGGGACAUUGUUUGGACAACAAUCAUUCCGGGCCCGGGCACAUUUCGAGUGGCUUGACAGUGUAGUGCCAUGAAAACAUCACAGUGCUGCAUGUAAAGACGAGUUUCACAGGAUGUACGAACUGCAGUGCUGCCAGAACUGUCAAGAAACUUAUAAAGACUACAUACUGGGCUACGUUGGGCAUGGGAGACGAGGGGAGCUUGUGGCAUUUUACAGCGAAAACGAGCACCCUGGAUUCUGCAGCCAGCUUCAUGAAUGGCUGGGUGUGUGAGUGGCUGGGUGUGUGAGUGGCUGGGUGUGUGAGUGGCUGGGUGUGUGAGUGGCUGGGUGUGUGAGUGGCUGGGUGUGUGAGUGGCUGGGUGUGUGAGUGGCUGGGUGUGUGAGUGGCUGGGUGUUGCAUUUUUAAAUAAAGACUUCUGUAUUUGUUUGACCAAAGCAUGUAACCAAACAUUUUAAAGGCUAGUGUGCCAAUAAAUGCCAAUAAAGAUAUUGUAUUAGCUUGGACAAA